rnacentral:misc_RNA from 1 species
GCGGCUGGAUCCCCUCCUUUCUAAGAGAGAACGUGGGUGGAGUUUCCGAAAAAGGUAUCUGUUGAGUGUACACAGAGCCGAAGUAGGGAACAGCCGUUCCACUCCAAACCACUGCCUGAGCUUCGGCGAGGGUAGUGAGCCCGCUCUGGGAUCUCCACUUGGAGAACGACGGUUCUUCCGAGGCGGCCAUCGGCUGGUCCGAUGGUCCCUGCAUCCAACUGGCCUCGGCUGAUAGCUGUUAGCCAUUAGCCGUUGGCCCAUUAGCUGGCCCAUACCGGGCUCCAGCUAAAAGCCAACAGCCAACAGCCAAUAGCCAAUAGCUUGGCUGAAGUUCUUUGACAAUUGAAUAUUGACGGGCAUAAACAAACACAAGUUAUAAGUGUAAGCGCGAGAAAGUAGCGUUCACUCGGCCGAUAACCGGGGAAGUAAACCGGGAGGUAUGGCCGAAUGUGUGUUGUAGAUUUUAUGGUCAAGCUACUAAGGGCGUGUGUGUGGAUGCCUUGGCGCAAGUAGGCGAUGAAGGACGCGAUCAGCUGCGAAAAGCCUCGGGAAGCCGCUAAUAGGCCGUGAUCCGGGGAUAU